UACGAAGGGGGCUAGCGUUGUUCGGAAUUACUGGGCGUAAAGGGCGCGUAGGCGGUACUUCAAGUCAGGCGUGAAAGCCCCGGGCUCAACUUGGGAACUGCGUCUGAUACUGGAUGGCUUGAAUUCGGGAGAGGGAUGCAGAAUUCCAGGUGUAGCGGUGAAAUGCGUAGAGAUCCGGAAGAACACCGGUGGCGAAGGCGGCCUGCUGGGCUAUGGCUGACACUGAGGCGCGACAGCGUGGGGAGCAAACAGG
rnacentral:rRNA from 1 species